ensembl:lncRNA
CAUCACUCGUGGGACACUGCCCACCUGAGUGGAUUAAGAGGCACCUAGCAGAUUGGCAAAGCAAGCUCUGGGCGUGUCUGUGGAUGAUUGACAUGUAGGCCAGCAAACUAGGGGGGAAGACCUACGCCGGAUGUAGGGCUACUAACCAAUAGGCUCGAAGCCUGGGUGGGAUGCAGAGGGAGAAGGAAGAAGCGUGCCUGAUUCGGAGCCCUCCAGACUCCUGAGCCGGUCUGUCCUUUGCCACCUGGUGACUGGACGCUGGCCUCAAGGGAUCCGGUGUCUUCAGUCUUCCAGGGCAGGCUCGAGCUGGUGACCUCCGGAGAGCUCCCAAGACCCCAGCGUUGGCCUGCGCGGGUCUUCACCCCUGUGGUCCCGCAGCUCUGGGUCCCUGGCUCCUGGGUGCACGGGCGACCACAGAAACCCAUCUGGCCGACCCCUCGCCUGGCUGCAGACUCCGGGUCGGUCCUGUUCUUCAGAGAAGCCCUACUACCUCAGUGCCCGCUUAAUAGAAAAACGCGGAGGGGCCGGGAAAGGAAGGGGCGAGGGAGGCAGCGCGGGACCCUGUGCCCAGAGAGGGGUGAAUUUGACCCUGACGACACUGAGCCUUCUGCACCUUUGGGCAGCAGCUUCCUCUGAGGUCCCCGCCCCGGCCUGGACGAGGCCUGCAAAGCGCACAGGCCGCGCCCGGGGCAGGAGAGUGGCCGGGCCUGGCUCCUCCUGUGCCUGGGUCUGGGUCCUGGGUCCCUGGGAUGGACGCUUACAGCCUCCCUGCGCAGUGAGGUGACUGGGACUGGACGGGACUGGACCCCGGAGACGGUGCUGCUUGGGCCGCACAGGGGGAGGCAGCGGAACCCAGAGGGAGCGCAGGCCGGCGGGAGACUGGGUGUCCGGGAUGCGCGUUCUGCGCAGAGAGCACAGCGAGAGGAGCUGUCCUCAGGGCCCGGCCGGCGGUCGCCGCCCACUUCUGGCUCCCAAGCAGCUGCCCUCUUCCGGGAGUAAGCAAGCGCGCCACGUCAGGUCGGAACACGCUCUGCACCAGACCGACAUGUAACUAGUGCUCCCCAGGCCUGGUCCCAGUGAACGAUUCACCAGAACAGUAAUCACAGAAAUAUGUGAACUUGCCGAAGGAAAUGUAGGAGCUGCAGGACAAAUGUUUGCCCCUUUAGGGUGAGAUGCUCUGUGCUGCAGUUUGGGCAUCAGCCCCAAACACUUCGGAGCCAAGGGCGACUGUCCUCCGGGAGGAAAAGGAAAAGAACUGAGCGGGAUUUCCAGGAGCGCCCUGAGUCUGAUGGGUGAAGACAGUGCCACCGGGAGCUCUGUAGAAUACACCAGGAAACUAACAAUUUACAAAAGAAAGUGGUCAGGCUUGGCAGUGGGGCAGUGGAAUUGCUGAAGAGUUUGCUUCCGCCAGCCACAGAUGGGCUGGAUGUGGGAGAGAGCACUGCAGUCUCCCCAGACAUCAAAUCUUUCUCCUCGAGACCUGCUCAUCAAAUUUUGUUCUCUUUGCAGUAAUUUAAGCUUUCUUGUUCCGGUUAUGGUGAGAGAAUUUAAUUUAGAUGGAAAUUUACUCUUUUGAGCAAUUGGCUUUCCACUCAUCCCUAUUAAGGCCUUAGACAAAGUCUUUUAGGUCCAACUUGCCCUGGGUAAUAUUUCCACCACUUACCUCAAGCAGUCUGUGCCUUCAAUGCUUCAGGUAAAAUGGGUUAAAUACACAGCCUUUGUCAAAGUGAAACUGAAAAUGAGAGUGUGUUCCCUUACAGGUUUUAAAGAUACCUCUUGGCAUACUUCAAGUGGGACAAACAGCUAAAACUGUCUAUGAUUCACUAGGUGUUAAAUUGACAUUUUUUUAUAAUAAAAUGAGCUUUCCCCAUAGUUUAUGUGGCUUAUCUUUUUUUCUUUUCUAUAGUACCUGACAUUAGAUAUUUCAUGACACAAAUAUUUGGACCUCUCUAGCUCUCUGUUUGUAAGUAAUGGCAGGUGAUGUUGUUUUG